AUAAAAUACUUUAUGUUGAAAAUUUUACCAUCCAUAUAAGUCUGUGUGGUGCCUCUAACACGUAAGUGACACGUAAUAAAUUAUAAUCAGCACUUAUUAAAUUUUUAUCUGGUACAUCUCGCGCGUCCAUCACAGGAAGUAGUUGUAUUGUUUGUCAAAGGUUUCCGCCGCGGGAUCAUGCGAUGGGCCUUAUAAAGACGGAGCCAGGUGGGCUGGACACAAUGAAGCAGUGACCAGUAAAGAUGAAACACUCGUUUUGUUUGGCUGUCUUUGCCCUGUGCCUCUACCUAGUGAUGGAGCCAGCAUUUGUCAGCGCUGCGCCCUCGUCUUCUGUGGAUGCUCAGAUGCCUUUGAAGCGAGUCGCCCGACAAAUGCCGCCGCCACCACCGCCACCUCCAUCAGAAAUGCCAGGUGGUAUGCCGGGUAUGUUAGAACCCUCAAUUAUGUACCAAAAUUUCGCUGGUAUAUCAGGCGCUACCACUCGUAACAGACGAGAGGCGAAAGGCGGCGGUGCCAUGCCCACAAGAAAAGGCUAGUUUUGUUGAAACUAUUUAUUUGAUUAGGUACACGAUUUGACGUCGCGACGACCAUGCAUGUAUGGAUCCCUGAUUAACGUUUAUUAAAUUAAGUUUGAGCAAUUUAAA